rnacentral:rRNA from 1 species
CGUGGAUAAUCUACCUACGAGAUGGGGAUAACUAUUAGAAAUAGUAGCUAAUACCGAAUAAAGUCAAUUAAGAUGUUAGUUGAUGAAAGGAAGCCUUUAAAGCUUCGCUUGUAGAUGAGUCUGCGUCUUAUUAGCUAGUUGGUGGGAUAAGAGCCUACCAAGGCUAUGAUAAGUAACCGGCCUGAGAGGGUGAUCGGUCACACUGGAACUGAGAUACGGUCCAGACUCCUACGGGAGGCAGCAGCUAAGAAUCUUCCGCAAUGGGCGAAAGCCUGACGGAGCGACACUGCGUGAACGAAGAAGGUCGAAAGAUUGUAAAGUUCUUUUAUAAGUGAGGAAUAAGCUUUGUAGGAAAUGACAAAGCGAUGACGUUAAUUUAUGAAUAAGCCCCGGCUAAUUACGUGCCAGCAGCCGCGGUAAUACGUAAGGGGCGAGCGUUGUUCGGGAUCAUUGGGCGUAAAGGGUGAGUAGGCGGAUAUGCAAGUCUAUGUGUAAAAUACCACAGCUCAACUGUGGAACUAUGCUGGAAACUGCAUGACUAGAGUCUGAUAGGGGAAGUUAGAAUUCCUGGUGUAAGGGUGGAAUCUGUUGAUAUCAGGAAGAAUACCAGAGGCGAAGGCGAACUUCUAGGUCAAGACUGACGCUGAGUCACGAAAGCGUAGGGAGCAAACAGGAUUAGAUACCCUGGUAGUCUACGCUGUAAACGAUGCACACUUGGUGUUAAUCGAAAGGUUAGUACCGAAGCUAACGUGUUAAGUGUGCCGCCUGGGGAGUAUGUUCGCAAGAAUGAAACUCAAAGGAAUUGACGGGGGCCCGCACAAGCGGUGGAGCAUGUGGUUUAAUUCGAUGAUACGCGAGGAACCUUACCAGGGCUUGACAUAUACAGGAUAUAGUUAGAGAUAACUAUUCCCCGUUUGGGGUCUGUAUACAGGUGCUGCAUGGUUGUCGUCAGCUCGUGCCGUGAGGUGUUGGGUUAAGUCCCGCAACGAGCGCAACCCUUGUUGUCUGUUACCAGCAUGUAAAGAUGGGGACUCAGACGAGACUGCCGGUGAUAAGCCGGAGGAAGGUGAGGAUGACGUCAAAUCAUCAUGGCCCUUAUGUCCUGGGCUACACACGUGCUACAAUGGCCUGUACAAAGCGAUGCGAAACAGUGAUGUGAAGCAAAACGCAGAAAGCAGGUCUCAGUCCAGAUUGAAGUCUGAAACUCGGCUUCAUGAAGUUGGAAUCGCUAGUAAUCGUAUAUCAGAAUGAUACGGUGAAUACGUUCUCGGGCCUUGUACACACCGCCCGUCACACCACCCGAGUUGAAGAUACCCGAAGCUAUUA